GUUGCUCAGGAGGCCACUGCGCAGGAAGGAGAGCUGCUGGGCCAGUGGGCAGCUGCGGAGACAGAGGAGUGAAGUUAGGGGAGCACGCAGCCAGCCUGGCAGCCUCCCUCAACAUGCCUGUCUCACGAAAGCUGCGGGGGAUUUCCAUAUUUCAGCUUUACCAGAUGCCAGAAUCACAUCAGUAACUGCUAUGGACAAAAACGCUUGGAGCCCUUGAUGCCAGGAGCUGUCAGAAGGAAAAACAACCCACACCAUCACCAGAAUCAUUUGCUCUCCAUGAACAUCUCUCAGUGUUUUAAACAUAUGAAUGGAUGGUACAUUUUGUCCUUUCCAUUUGAUGGAGGGGAAAACUGAGGACACCUGAGAAGAUGGGAAAAUAACAGAAAGAGGCCCAAGAUGGAGACAUUCUGGGAAGGAAAUAACAAACAAGGGUGUCACAAAAGAUUCUCCAGGAACCAUGUGAUGUCUCAAAGGCGAUGAAUAUGGAUUCCAGGAAAUGAAAAAGUAACUUCAUGUCUGUUCUCCUUUUUAAUGGCCAGAUCCAUGCAAAGAACAUUUCAGAUAACUCUAUUUCAGUCAAUUUCAGAUGACUCUAGAUAGAAAUUUCAUCGGUAAGCCCAACCUUCUUCUCCUUUUUAAAAAGGACAUAUUUUAAUCUGCCAGGAACAGAAUGCUCCAAAAGAAAGAUUCUUGUCUGAGCCAAGUUGCUGUCUCUUUGAGUAUGUCCAGGCAAUUUACAAAUUGUAUAUAUUUUUUUCCAAAAUAUUUAAGUUCAGGGGAGAAAGUGGCUUUGUUCCUAUGUCUGUGAAGCUGACCACUCUAAAAUAGACCUUUAUUUGUACAUACAAACACGUGUGCACCCCAGGGCUGCUGGCACACUCCGCUCUAAUUCACGUGCUCGGUCACACAGACACUUUCAUGGGCUGACCCCGCAAUGCACGCAUGGUUCAAGCUCAGCACCCUGAACACAGACAAUAACCAAGUGAACAAUGCCUGGAAGACCUCACAGAUUGACACGUCCUGGCCAGGAGCCAUGUGGCAAGGAGGCUGGUACUCCGGAACUCUAAGGAGACUCUGGCUCUGGCAUUCUGCUCAGGGGGCACCCCACCAGUUUCUCAGUAGGGGAAUUGAUUGUACAAGCCCCUGUUGGCUCAGAUCAUCACAUUUCCAACUGCUGCUCUGAGGGAGAGAUACCCUCUGGUUACAAUGUCUCCUUUUUCAGCUCUGCCAGCCUCCCAGCAGCCCAGUAUCUGCCAGAGAAAAGAUCAGGCUGCCUUUGAGUUCGCUGUUGCCCAGUUAGGUUUAGCCUAUAAGACAAGGAGCAAGAGAUAGGCAGAAAGGGCAUGAUCCAGCUGUGCCUUGAAAGGAAUGGCUUUCAAGGAAUUCUGUGCUUAGAGCUAUGUGAGAGGCAAGGAAUCUCCUGUGUAAGCUGGAUCACAAGCCUAGUGUGUGCACGCUCGGUGAGGGCAGUACUGCUUCACCUCGGUGAAACCAUAAGCCCUCUCCCUUCAAUGGCAGGGAUAAGGCUGAUUGUGCAGACAGUGCCCCGGAUCUGUGAUCUGCGGCAGGAGGGGGAGCCUGGAGGAAAAGGGUGGGGAAACUAGGUAUAUGUGCCCAAAGCUCAUGCAGGUUACAGAAUCAAUUUUAAAUUUAUGAAAAUACCCACUUCAUGUCCGCAAGCCAAGAACGCUGACCCUGGGUCCAACUGGGUGCCUUUGCCUGCUACAAAGCCAAUCCUAAAUUGGAAGUUAUCCUGAGACUGUCAGAGGACCUGGGAGUGAGAAGGGGAGGGACAGAACCUCCUGGGCAGCACAUGCCAAGCAGGCCUGGCUGGGCGAGAAGCCCCGGCUGUCAAGUCUGAGGAUCCCUGUGACAGGUUCCCACCUGGGAUAAGAAGUAGCCACAGCCAGAAUACUGUCCAGCCACCUGUGGCAAGGCACAGGAACAGAAGGAAGU